GAUGAAGAACGCAGCGAAAUGCGAUAAGUAAUGUGAAUUGCAGAAUUCAGUGAAUCAUCGAAUCUUUGAACGCACCUUGCACCCUUUGGCAUUCCGAAGGGUAUGCUCGUUUGAGUGUCAUUGUACUCUCACACUUCUGAUCCUUUGGAUUGGGAGCGGUGGACUUGGGUGUUGCUGCUUUACUGUGGCUCACCUCAAAUGCAUUCGUGCAACUCUUGGUUGGACAUAGUACGGCGUGAUAAGUAUCUUCGCCGGCACCUCGCAAGAGGGUGGCUGAUCAGGAGCUCUGUGCUUUCCAACUGUCUUCAGACAACAACUGACAGCUUGACCUCAAAUCGAGUAGGACCACCCGCUGAACUUAAGCAUAUCAAUAAGCGGAGGA
rnacentral:misc_RNA from 1 species